rnacentral:lncRNA from 1 species
GGCGAUUUCUGGUCUAGGGUGAGAGAUAACAGAAAGUAACAAUGGAGGCUCUCGCAGUGCUCGCAGGCACUCAAGGAACGGAAAGGAAAUUGCACAUUUCACCCGUGACUGCAUAGGCAAACGAGAACAGCAAGUCUCUGCUUUCAGCUGGAAUGUUAUCAACUUCGGUCACGCUGAUUAUCUCAGGCUGAUCAGGAAGGCUGGUACCAGGAGUGAGUGACUAAAUGAAGAAAUUACUAAUUAACAAAUGCUUGGGUGGACAAUCCUUCAAAAUUUAGGAUCAAUGGGAGGAGACAGAAGGAGUCUUGGGAGGAUUUUUAAAAUAUGCCAGAGCUGGCUGGGUACAGUGGCUCACACCUGUAACCUGAGGACUUUGAGGUGGAGACGGGCAGACCACCUGAGCUCAGGAGCUCAAGACCAGCCUGGGCAACAUGGCAAAACCCUGUCUCUACUAACACUAUAAAAAGUUAGCUGGGCGUGUUGGUGCAUGCUGUAGUCCCAGCUACUCAGGAGGCUGAGCCACGAGAAUCGCUUGAACCUGGGAGAUGGAGGUUGAAGUGAGCCAAGAUCGCACCAUUGCACUCCAGCCUGGGGAAAAAAAAAAGCCAGGCCUCCUAAUGUACUCAUUUAAACAUCACUUGUGUCCACCUGGGUUCAGAAUUGCGCUGGACAUGGGAUACACAAAGCGGGAGUGGAAUUUUCAGGAAGCAGCUGUGCUGUGGGUGACGGUCAUACUUUAUUCUCUAAAACUCUCCAGUUUCAAUUGGCCUCUUGGUGCCAAAGCACCAUGGCGUGUUACACCUAUCAGAUCGGGCACACUGCCCCUUCUUCCCAACCUACGAGCUGAAAUGGCCAGCACUGCGCCUUCCAGAACCCAGCGUAGAUGCACAGCUGCCACGGAGGUAGGAAGAAUGAUUCGUUUGCCACCAAAAGCCCAGUUUCUCCAACAGGUGAAUCCCUAGGCCAGCCCGGCCCCUUCCCACACACCCCUACCCCGAGACGGGUGCAGAAUCAGCAGCGGGGAUCAUCCAGAGACUCUCGCAGUCCACGGCAGGUGUCGGAGUGGGCCUCAUUCCAGAGUUGUGGUGGCCGCUCCACCUGGCGAGCUUCGAGGGGACUCCGGCAGGCGCUCGCUGUGGGGUCCUCCCACCAGUCUUCUCAGCACAGGAACGGUGCCUUCACAUUGGUCUUCCGGGGCUUAAAAGCAUAUCAUUCCUGCUUGCUCUUCAGAUGCAAACUCCCCCUCCAAGGAUACCUCCAGGUUCCCUGCCAGCUCACUUGACUCACAUGGCAAUGGUCACCGGGCUGCCUGAGCCCAAAUCAAGCACCGUUUAUUAGGGGGAAGCUCCGUUAUCCAGAAAGCUCAUCUUUGAAGAGCUACCCAUUUCCUGCCAAAGUUGUGGCGGGAAGGCCUUAGGUACUAGAAAACCUUGGGGAAUGGCAAUUAAAGGAUUAUCAUUCUUACUUAUUUGUUUGGAUAAGCAGCAAUCACCCUUCGGAUGCUUAUUGGUGAGAAUAUUUCUAAAAGUGUCCUGCACAUUUCCCUGCUUUGAUGAAUGGAACGGCAGGGCAGGAUUUAACUGUCUGAUGGCUACGGUUUUGGGAAAGUGCCAGAACCUCCACGUCAGCCACCCCAGAGCCACAGGCAGGGUAUGAGCCACAGCAAUGGGCCCCAAGAAAGAGCCCCACACCCACCAUGGUCCACGGAAGACGCUGCUUACUGGCCCCGGGUUACCUGGAGUCAUGUGCAUUCUCCUUACAUCAAGUGAAGAUAAUAUUUUGUUUCCUUCCCACUUUUUCUCUAACACAAGCCACCCCAGUUCUCCCUUCUGACAACAGGCAAGUGGACCCUAGUAGACCUUCCAGAAAAGCCUUAGAGAGCACCCCCAAAUGCUCACAUUUGUCAGCUGUAAUUCCACCCUCAGUUAAAACCUGAUUCUCAAUGUGACUUGGCCAACGCAGCUUGCAAAGCAAGAACGUCUUCAUCUAAGGUUGAAAACAUCAGUUGUUUGGGUUGUGAGAAAAGAAAAGCCCACAAGGUUUCCGAGGCUUGGUGCUGUUUCUCACUGUCCUCAGCUCCUGAUUCUGCAGCUGGUUCUCUCUCCAAGCACUAGCAAAACCCUGCCCUAGGAGCCCCCAGACUCUGAGAGCCCAUGACCAAAAAGAAAAGGAAAGCCAAGUUGGGGAAGAACAGGGGCCCCCAACUCCACAGCCCUCCACUCUGCCCAGAGGGCCCACCCUGGGCUGCCUGGAACCCCCUAAAGUUGCCACCCCCGCAACACAGUAGUGGGGCAGUUCCUGGCAGCGCCUGCAGCCCAUGGGCUGGCUCUGUACCCGCAGCCCCGCCAAGCGUCUGUUAUCUUAUUUACUGGAAUCUGCACAGCCAGGCUCUAGCUCACCGGUGACUAAGGAGCUGCAGCCAUUAUUACCAGGCAGAUGGCAGACUCCCUAAAAGCAGACAUUAAACAAUAAAAUGCCACCACAUACCUUGCCCACAAAAUAAAAUCAAAACAAACACCUAA